GCUCUUAUGCAGCUCCCAUUGGCUGCUGCUUUGCUCCUUAUGGGUGGUGGUGCAAAGCCAAUGGGAGAAAGUGGAGUGGGGGGGUAUGUAAGCGUGCAAGGUGAGUGUGCAAGAUGAGAGUGUGCAAGAGGGGAAGAGGUCUCUAUGGAGAUUGGGGGCUCGUAUGCACUCUGCUCCCUAUGGGUGGUGGCACAAACCCAAUGGGGAAAAGCGGGCUGGGGGGUUGGGGGUGUGUGUGUGCAAGGUGAGUGUGCAAGUUGAGUGUGCAAGAGGAGAUGAGAUCUCUAUGGGGACAAGGGGCUCUUAUGCAACGGGUCCAAUUGUUCUCUCCUCGUUAUGGGUGGUGGCACAAACUCAAUGGGAGAAAGUGAAUAGGGGGGUAUGUAAGCGUGCAAGGCAAGCGUGCAAGACGAGCGUGCAAGAGGGGGAGGCGGUCUUUAUGGGGACGGGAGGCUCUUAGCUAGAGUGUCCAAUUGUUCUCGUGUCCUUAUGGGUGGCGAGCAGUGGGAGAAAAUGGAGUAGGGGGGGUAAAUAAGUGUGCAAGACGAGCGUGCAAGGCGAGCGUGCAAGGAGGAGGAGCUUUACACGUGGAAGUGGGGCUCGCACGCGCUCCGCUCCCUCCAAGUGGCGGCACGAAGCCAACAGGAAAAAGCAGAAUAAGGGGGAGGUGGGAGGGGGAGCGGGUGCGUAAGCGUGGAAUAAGUGUGCAAGACGAGCCUGCUAGGUGAGUGCACAACGCCAGUGUGCAAGGGCGGAAGAGAUCUCUAUGGGGACAGGGGGCUCUUAUCCAGCGGGUCCCAUUGGCUGCUGCUUUGCUCCCUAUGGGCGGUGGCACGAACCCAGUGUGAGAAAGUGGAGUUUGUGUGUGGGGAUCUGUGCGUGCAAGGUGAGCGUGCAAAAUGAGUGUGCAAGCAGGGAAGGGGUCUUUAUGGGGAUGGGGGGCUUGUUUGCGCUCUGCUACCUGUGGGUGGUGGCACGAACCAAAUGGGAAGAGUGGACAGGGUUGGGAGGGGGGCUGGGGGUGUGAGUGUGCAAGGUGAGUGUGCAAGAGGAGAAGAGGUCUCUAUGGAGAUGGGGGGGUCUUAUUCAGAGGGUCCAAUUGUUGUCUCCUCGUUAUGGGUGGUGGCACAAACUCAAUGGGAGAAAGUGAGUAAGGGGGGGGUAUGCAGGUGUGCAAGGUGAGUGUGCAAGAGAAGAAGAGGUCUGUAUGGAGACAAGGGGUUCUUAUCCAGAGGGCCCAAUUGUUGUCUCCUUGUUAUGGGUGGUGGCACAAACCCAAUGGAAGAAAGUGAGUAGGGGGAGCAUGUGAGUGUGCAAGGCGAGCGGUGCAAGAUGAGCGUGCAAGAGGGGAGGAAGUCUCUAUGGGGACGGGUGGCUCUUAGCUAGAGAGUCCAAUUGUUCUCACCUCCUUAUGGGUGGCGAACAGUGGGAGAAAAUGGAGUAGGGUGGGGGGUGUAAGU
rnacentral:lncRNA from 1 species